CAUGAGUGGCGGACGGGUGAGUAACGCGUGGGCAACCUGCCCUGUACAGGGGGACAACACUUAGAAAUAGGUGCUAAUACCGCAUAACGGGGGGAGCCGCAUGGCACCCCCCUGAAAACUCCGGUGGUACAGGAUGGGCCCGCGUCUGAUUAGCUGGUUGGCAGGGUAACGGCCUACCAAGGCGACGAUCAGUAGCCGGCCUGAGAGGGCGGACGGCCACACUGGGACUGAGACACGGCCCAGACUCCUACGGAAGGCAGCAG
rnacentral:rRNA from 1 species